GGCAGGGGGGCAGGAGCUGUGUAUUCUGAACCCACCAUGAUCCUUGGCAUCUGUGCCUGUCCUUUGGAAUCUAUGCUGAUAGGGCCCAUCUGUGAUUGUCAACUCACUUGGUUGCAGCUGCUUCUUUUCUAAUGCAUACAUGGGUGCUCUGGCCAACUGGCUGAACUACAGCACUGGGCGGAGGAGGAGCACUUUUUUUCACAUGCACCAUCCCAGGGGCGUUCUCACUCUGCCCUCACUAUCUGCUCUCCCGGGGUGCUGGCUUGAUGAAGACACCCCCACAAUAGCUUAACCUCCUCUGCGUGGAGCUUUCCCAUGGUUUGUGAGGGAAUUUGGAGAGUGAAGGCAUUCCUGCAGAAAGCCACCCCUCCUUGCUCUUUUCUCAGAGCUGUGCAUCAUCCCAUGCCCUGGGUCACUGCCAGUGGGGGUGAGAGGGGAGAUCCCUUUACCUCCUUCCACUUCCUUGUAGGGGGGGCCCAAUGCCUCCACUUUCAGACUUAUGGCUGUGUGGGUCUCUCAGAUAUGUUUUGUGUUGUGUGAAUAUUCUCUGUUAGUUUAUGAAUGUCCUGUUCCUUAUAUCUUAGAGAAGAGAGACUAAGGGAAGAGCUCACUCUGCCAUGAUGCUGAUGUCACUCCUUGGACCUGGUUUAUAUUCCUCAUUGUAUUAGUUUCCUGUGUCUGCUGUAACAAAUUGCCACAAACUGGGUGGCUUAAAACAGCAGAAAUUUAUUCUCUCACAGCUUUGGGGGCCAGAAAGUCCAAAAUCUAGAUGUCAGAAGGGCCACCCUCCCUCCAAAGGCUCUAGGGGAGGACCCUUCCUUGCCUCUUCCAACUUCCAGUGGUUCCUGGCAUUCCUUGGUUGGUGGCGUCAUCAUUCCAUUCUCUGCUCCUGUCUUCCCCCGACCUUCUACCCUGUAUGUGUCUUUGUGUUCUUUUCUGCCUCUUAUAAGAACACUCUCAUUUGAAUUUAGGCCGUUCUAAUCCAGUAUGGUGUCAUUUCAAUCCUUACCUUAAUUACAUCUGCAAAGAUCCUAUUGUCAAAUAAAGUCACAUUCUGAGGUUGUGGAUGGACAUGAAUUCAACCCACUACCCUCAUCUCCUGAAACAUUAUCAAGACUUCAAUGCCAGCAACUCUACUUCUUAUGCAUCUGUUUUACUUCAUUAUUCCACUCUCACCUCCUAGUUCCUCUUUUCCUAUUUGACUCCAUUAGGAGUGUCACAAUUUGUGUGCUCAAGACUUGGUCAUCCUGAGUUUCUAAAGAGAUACACAAAGAGGAGAGGAACCUGAGUUGCCUCAAGAAGAUGAUGGGAGAGUGAAGGGCUUUCAUGGACUUCUCUAAAAUACAGUCACAGAGCCUGUGUCUUGUUCCUCUGAAAAGGAGGAGCAUUUGCAGUAAUGACGGGGAAUGGCGACCCAGCAGGAAAAGCUGAUGUAAUGAAAAGGAGAGAACAGGCCCACACAUUGAGUCAUCUUCAGGGACGAACAGUGGUGUCUCUCUUCUCUUUGAUUUACUGCCAUGAAGUUUGGGCGAUGCUGUAAUACCUUGUUUGUAUGAAGAAACUUCCAAUCCCCAGAGUGACCAAGAGAGGAAUUUCCAGUGGGAUGCUGGCAUCAUUUAAUGGCUGGCUCUCCAGAGACAAGAAGCUCUCUGCUGAUUUCCAUGGUAUAAGUACUCUCACAGUGGCUAAUUUUUAAGCUAUCAAUGUGACGUCACUGAGUGUGGAGCUGGGAAGAGUUAGGAAGAGAUGUGCAUAAUCGGCUCCCAAAAACCCAUAGGUGCCGGCUUCAACAUACGAUUGAAAUUUCCUUCCUACCAGGGUGGUGAGCAGCCCUGGCUGGAGGUCUCAGCCAGAGGAAGGAUGACUACCAACAGGGAGGCUCCCUCUCAAUGGCUCCGUCUCAAUCCAAAGACGUUGAGACGCCAUCAUUCCACUUAGAAUGUAAAUCACUUCCUUCAUAGCCAAACAUUUUUAGAGGAUAAGAAUAUGUUAAACACCAAAACUCUAUUCCUUUUUGAGAAAAGCAAUAGAGAUGAGUUGUUCUCCCUGAAUAAGCCAGGGAUCCAAUGUUGGUGAUGAAGUUCAAUUUACGUAGGAUAUUUUUCCCACCAUCAUCAGCCUAGAGGGCAGGUCUCCUUGCAGAUGUCAGGGCAGCUUCAUCUGCGGCUAAAUUUGAAAACUCCCCUUGGAGAAUUUCAUAUCCCCUAGGUCACUGUACUCAGUUUUACAGUCCCCUUAAAGUUUUGCAGUCUGAAGGGCGUUAUCUGUGAAAAGUCAUGAAGUCUGUAUUGGUUAGAAUGAUUUGAGUACAAAUAACAGAGCACUUUGACCCAACCAGCUUAAAUAAUGAAGAAAUACAUUAUCUCCAAUAAUGAGAAGUCCUAAGGUAGGAAAACACCAGGGUCGGUUAAUUCAGACAUUCAAGAAUGUCAUUAAGGAUCCAGAUUUCUCCCAUAUUCCUGCUCUGUCAUCCUUUGUCCUGUUUAUCUCCCCUCAUGCCUGUAAGAUGGCUGCCACUUUCUAGGCACGAAUGGCAACAGCUUUUGAAGAAGGACCAACUCUUCCAAUAGAGGAAAACUUUUCCAGAAGCUUCAUUGGAAAGAAUUGGGUCAAACAUCCUUUCCUAAAUCAAACCAUGUCAUAGAGACUGGAAUUACUAUGAUUAACUUAAAAUAAAUCGGAAUUUAACCAUGAGUCACAUUGGGGAGAGGUAAACACCCAGACAAAAUUGUGUUCCUGCUUGGUAGGCAGUUGUCAUCCCAAGGAUUCUUCCACUAUUCUGAUCCUAAGAAUGUUGACGUGUACAGGUCAUUUGGUCCUUUUGGCUGAUCAGAGAUCCACUUGGAUCAGACCAAUGAACUUGAUCAGAAGCAAAUUAUGCUAUGUUUACUAAAUUGAUUAAACUCAAGAUAAGUUUAUCAAAAAAUAUUUGUUAAGGACCUAGUGGGAACCUGGCACUUAAAAGUUACAGUCAUUAAGCACUGGACCUGCUGAUGAGUAGACAUGGACAACUGGACUUAGAGCUCUUAAUCAGCCAGCAGAAUAAGUAAAAAUUUCUUCAAGAUGAGGAGGGGUAAAACUUUAAAAAAAUACAUGACUAUGGCUUUCAAUAAGGAUGCCAAGACAAUUCAUUGGGGGAAAGACCAGUCUUUCUAACAAAUGGAGCUGGGACAAUUGGAUAUCCACAUGCAAAAGAAUGGAGUUGGACCCUUACCUCACACCACAUGCCAAGAUUAACUCAAAAUGGAUCAUUGACCUAAACAUAAGAGCUGAAAAUAGAAAAAAUGCUUGGGAGAAAGCUUGUAAAUCUCAUGACCUGGAUUAGUCAACGGAUUCUUAUACAUGACACCUAAAGCAGAGGUAACAAAAGAAAAAUAAAUAAAUUGGGCUUCAUCAAAAUUAAAACUUCUGUGCUUCAAGGAUGCUAUUGAGAAAGUAAAAAGACAAUCCAAAGAAUGAGAGAAAAUAUUUGC